rnacentral:rRNA from 1 species
CGGCGAGUGAAAAGGGAAGAGCCCAGAGCUGAAUCACUUGGUCGAUGGCCACUGUGAGGUGUAGCGUUGAGGUGCAGUCUUCACUCUUUGUCGAACCGGUCUAAGGGCCAAGUAUAUGGCCAAGUAUUCCUCCAAAGCAAGCAAUCGACUUGUGAGGCCGCGUUUGACUUUGAGCUGGCAGUACCCUCGAAUCGGGCUGUUUGUUAGUGCAGCCUUAAGUUGGAGGUUUAUCGCUCCAAAGGCUAAAUACGGUUGCGAAACCGAUAGUGAACAAGUACCGUGAGGGAAAGUUGAAAAGCACUUUGAAGAGAGAGUUAAAGAGAACGUCAGUCUAUGUCGAUCUCUUGAAGUUCAUAAGUUCACAAUUGUGAUUGACGUGUUUGAAGCGGUCAACUCAUUAGAUGCACCCUCAUCGAGGCGUUGUGUCUAAUGGUUUGGCCGUUAUCAAAGCUUAUUAUACCCGUCUUGAAACACGGACCACGGAGUCUAAGUGACAUGCAGGUCUUUGGGUGUAAACCCUGUGACUCAAUGAAGGUGUUAUUUUGCGGAAACCUUGGCUUGCCUUGGCUAACCGCAGCCCUGCAAAUGCAGUGGUGGAGUCAGGACCUUGGAACCCGAAAGAUGGUGAUCUAUGUGAAAGCAGGGUGAAGCCGGGGGAAACCUCGGUGGAAGCCCUUAAAGUUUCUGACGUGCAAAUCGAUCCUAUGACUGGUGUAUAGGUGCGAAAGACUAAUCGAACCAUCUAGUAGCUGGUUCCUGCUGAAGUUUCCCUCAGGAUAGCAGCAGCCACUAUUCAGUUGCUUCCCGUAGAGCAAUGAUUAGAGACGUAUUGGGAUAUCUAAUCCUAAACCUACUCUCAAACUCUGAAGGGUUGCGAGGUACGCGGGGCUGAGUUCCCCGUGAAACGGUGGGUUUGACCAUCGAAAGAAUGAAGGCUGCUAGUGGGCCAUUUUUGGUAAGCAGAACUGGCGAAGUGGUUUGAACCGAUAGUCGGGUUAAUUGUGCCUAAGUAUCCGCUCAUAAGACCCACGAAAGGUGUUAGUCGAUAGAGACAGCAGGUCGGUGGCCAUGGAAGUCGGUACCCGCUAAGGAGUGUGUAACAACUCACCUGCCGAAUCGACUAGCCCUGAAAAUUGAUGGCGCUUGAGUGGAUCACUUGUACCCGACCACUGAUUGCUUGUGCUCCGGCCCGGUGCCUGGCUUCAGUGAGUAAGCAGGUGUGAGAGUUGGCUAUGAAGGUACUGGCGUGGGCCUUGCCUGAGCUGCUCUUAGUGCAGAUCUUGGUGAUAGUAGCAAGUACUCAACCGUGAUCGUUGAGGACCGAAGUGGUGGAAGGGUUCCUCGUGAACAGUGAUUGAACGUGGGUUAGCCGAGCCUAGUCAGCCGGCUAAUGCCACUCUGAUUGAGUCUCGAAGCUUGCUUCGUGCUCUUUCUCCGAAAGGGAAACAGGUUAAUAUUCCUGUGCCUGAAUGCAAAGAUUAACCCCCUCACGGGGGUCAAGGCGGUAACGCUUAAGACCUCGGUAUGAGGAGUCAAGCCCGAGCCGGAGUCUUCGUCUCUGGUUUAGGAAAUCAUUCCAUGGAUACGGUUCAGCCGACGAUAUGGAUUUGAUUCCGUAAAGCACAUCGAUUUCGAUGUGUCUCGUGCGCUUGGCUCUUCCCUUGAAACACCGAGUGAUCGUUAUAAUCUUGCAUCUGGUCGUACCUAUGACCGCAUCAGGUCCCCAAGGUGAACAACCUUUGGUUAAUUGUAUAAUGUGGGUAAGGGAAGUCGGCAAAUUUGAUCCGUAGCCUCGGGAAAAGGAUUGGCUCCAUGGACUGAAUUGAGCGUCCCUUGAAUGAAGCAGGCUUCGGCUCGUGGACUUCUUGGUGAUUAGCUCUCUUCGUUGAAUGUUCAUUGGAACCGGCACGGAAACAAGGAAUCCGACUGUCUACUUAAAACAAAGGAGUCAGAUGGUGCUUGCGCACUUUAACUGACUCUGAUUUCUGCCCAGUGCCUUGACUGUGAAUGUGAAGGUAUUCACAGAAGCGCGGGUAAACGGCGGGAGUAACUAUGACUCUCUUAAGGUAGCCAAACGCCUCGUCAUUUAAUUGGUGACGUGCAUGAAUGGAUUUACGAGAUUCCUACUGUCCCUAUCUACUAUCGAGCGAAACCACUGCCAAGGGAACGGUCUUGGUAUAAUCAGUGGGGAAAGAAGACCCUGUUGAGCUUGACUCUAGUCUGUUGUGUGAAGGUUCAUCAUUGGUAUAGCAUAAGUGGGAGGUUCGCCAACGGUGUAAUACCACUACUCUGAUCGAACGUUUACUUAUUCGGUUCCGUGUUCGAAUCGUUUCGAUCAAAGUUUGUGACCAGUCGGAGAAGUGUUCAGGUGGGGAGUUUGACUGGGGCGGUACGUCUGUUAAAUAGUAACGCAGGUGUCCUAAGGUUAGCUCCGAGUGGACGGAAACCACUCAUGGAGCAAAAGGGUACAAGCUACCUUUAUCUUUAUUUUCAGUACGAAUACAGAACGCGCAAGCGUGGCCUAUCGAUCCUUUGAUCAUAGACGGUAUCUAUUCAGAGGUGUCAGAAUAGUUACCACAGGGAUAACUGGCUUGUGGCAGCCAAGCGUUCAUAGCGACGUUGCUUUUUGAUCCUUCGAUGUCGGCUCUUCCUAUCAUUGCGAAGCA